rnacentral:sRNA from 2 species
AUAUCUCUCCGUACGGGAAGGAUGAGAAGCUUCGACUAAGGUUCGAUUCGAGCGCAGCGAGAAAGCGUUGCCGCAGGCAACGACCCGAAGGGCGAAGCGCGCAGCG